rnacentral:rRNA from 1 species
GACGAACCGUGCAAACGUUGUUCGGAUUCACUGGGCUUAAAGGGCGCGUAGGCGGGCGGUAAAGUCAGGGGUGAAAUCCUCCAGCUCAACUGGAGAAGUGCCUCUGAUACUGAUCGUCUCGAGGGAGGUAGGGGCAUGUGGAACUCAGGGUGGAGCGGUGAAAUGCGUAGAUAUCCUGAGGAACGCCGGUGGCGAAAGCGACGUGCUGGACCUCUUCUGACGCUGAGGCGCGAAAGCCAGGGGAGCAAACGGG